CCGCGGGAUUAGAGUUUGAUCCUGGCUCAGGACGAACGCUGGCUGCGUGCCUAAUACAUGCAAGUAGAACGCUGAAGAGAGGAGCUUGCUCUUCUUGGAUGAGUUGCGAACGGGUGAGUAACGCGUAGGUAACCUGCCUUGUAGCGGGGGAUAACUAUUGGAAACGAUAGCUAAUACCGCAUAACAAUGGAUGACACAUGUCAUUUAUUUGAAAGGGGCAAUUGCUCCACUACAAGAUGGACCUGCGUUGUAUUAGCUAGUAGGUGAGGUAACGGCUCACCUAGGCGACGAUACAUAGCCGACCUGAGAGGGUGAUCGGCCACACUGGGACUGAGACACGGCCCAGACUCCUACGGGAGGCAGCAGUAGGGAAUCUUCGGCAAUGGGGGCAACCCUGACCGAGCAACGCCGCGUGAGUGAAGAAGGUUUUCGGAUCGUAAAGCUCUGUUGUAAGUCAAGAACGAGUGUGAGAGUGGAAAGUUCACACUGUGACGGUAGCUUACCAGAAAGGGACGGCUAACUACGUGCCAGCAGCCGCGGUAAUACGUAGGUCCCGAGCGUUGUCCGGAUUUAUUGGGCGUAAAGCGAGCGCAGGCGGUUUGAUAAGUCUGAAGUUAAAGGCUGUGGCUCAACCAUAGUUCGCUUUGGAAACUGUCAAACUUGAGUGCAGAAGGGGAGAGUGGAAUUCCAUGUGUAGCGGUGAAAUGCGUAGAUAUAUGGAGGAACACCGGUGGCGAAAGCGGCUCUCUGGUCUGUAACUGACGCUGAGGCUCGAAAGCGUGGGGAGCGAACAGGAUUAGAUACCCUGGUAGUCCACGCCGUAAACGAUGAGUGCUAGGUGUUGGAUCCUUUCCGGGGAU
rnacentral:rRNA from 1 species